GAUGAACGCUGGCGGCGUGCCUAAUACAUGCAAGUCGAGCGAACGGACGAGAAGCUUGCUUCUCUGAUGUUAGCGGCGGACGGGUGAGUAACACGUGGAUAACCUACCUAUAAGACUGGGAUAACUUCGGGAAACCGGAGCUAAUACCGGAUAAUAUUUUGAACCGCAUGGUUCAAAAGUGAAAGACGGUCUUGCUGUCACUUAUAGAUGGAUCCGCGCUGCAUUAGCUAGUUGGUAAGGUAACGGCUUACCAAGGCAACGAUGCAUAGCCGACCUGAGAGGGUGAUCGGCCACACGGGAACUGAGACACGGCCCAGACUCCUACGGGAGGCAGCAGUAGGGAAUCUUCCGCAAUGGGCGAAAGCCUGACGGAGCAACGCCGCGUGAGUGAUGAAGGUCUUCGGAUCGUAAAACUCUGUUAUUAGGGAAGAACAUAUGUGUAAGUAACUGUGCACAUCUUGACGGUACCUAAUCAGAAAGCCACGGCUAACUACGUG
rnacentral:rRNA from 1 species